rnacentral:rRNA from 1 species
CAGUAGCCGCGGUAAUACGGAGGGGGCUAGCGUUGUUCGGAAUUACUGGGCGUAAAGCGUACGUAGGCGGCUUUGUAAGUUUGAGGUGAAAGCCUGGUGCUCAACACCAGAACUGCCUUUAAGACUGCAUCGCUUGAACGUCGGAGAGGUGAGUGGAAUUCCGAGUGUAGAGGUGAAAUUCGUAGAUAUUCGGAAGAACACCAGUGGCGAAGGCGGCUCACUGGACGACUGUUGACGCUGAGGUACGAAAGCGUGGGGAGCAAACAGGAUUAGAUACCCCCGUAGUCCCUGUCUCUUAUAC